rnacentral:rRNA from 1 species
AGUGAGUGGCGGACGGGUGAGUAACACGUAGGUAACCUGCCCCGGAGCGGGGGAUAACAUUUGGAAACAGAUGCUAAUACCGCAUAACAACAAAAGCCACAUGGCCUUUUGUUUGAAAGAUGGCUUUGGCUAUCACUCUGGGAUGGACCUGCGGUGCAUUAGCUAGUUGGUAAGGUAACGGCUUACCAAGGCGAUGAUGCAUAGCCGAGUUGAGAGACUGAUCGGCCACAAUGGAACUGAGACACGGUCCAUACUCCUACGGGAGGCAGCAGUAGGGAAUCUUCCACAAUGGGCGCAAGCCUGAUGGAGCAACACCGCGUGAGUGAAGAAGGGUUUCGGCUCGUAAAGCUCUGUUGUUGGAGAAGAACGUGCGUGAGAGUAACUGUUCACGCAGUGACGGUAUCCAACCAGAAAGUCACGGCUAACUACGUGCCAGCAGCCGCGGUAAUACGUAGGUGGCAAGCGUUAUCCGGAUUUAUUGGGCGUAAAGCGAGCGCAGGCGGUUGCUUAGGUCUGAUGUGAAAGCCUUCGGCUUAACCGAAGAAGUGCAUCGGAAACCGGGCAACUUGAGUGCAGAAGAGGACAGUGGAACUCCAUGUGUAGCGGUGGAAUGCGUAGAUAUAUGGAAGAACACCAGUGGCGAAGGCGGCUGUCUGGUCUGCAACUGACGCUGAGGCUCGAAAGCAUGGGUAGCGAAACAGGAUUAGAUACCCUGGUAGUCCAUGCCGUAAACGAUGAGUGCUAGGUGUUGGAAGGUUUCC